rnacentral:rRNA from 1 species
UAAUACAGAGGGUGCGAGCGUUAAUCGAAGUUACUGGGCGUAAAGGGCGCGUAGGCGGUCAUAAGAGUGGAAUGUGAAAGCCCUGGGCUUAACCUAGGAAGUGCAUACCAAACGUUGUGACUGGAGUAUGAGAGAGGGUGGCGGAAUUUCCGGUGUAGCGGUGAAAUGCGUAGAGAUCGGAAGGAACGUCAAUGGCGAAGGCAGCCACCUGGCUCAAUACUGACGCUGAGGCGCGAAAGCGUGGGGAGCGAACAGGAUUAGAUACCCUGGUAGUCCACGCUGUAAACGAUGAGGACUAGAUGCUGGGAGGGAGACCUUUCAGUAUCGAAGCAAACGCGAUAAGUCUUCCGCCUGGGAAGUACGGCCGCAAGGUUG